GCUUAAUACAUGCAAGUCGUGGGGCAGCGCGGGUAGCAAUACCUGGCGGCGACCGGCAAACGGGUGAGGAACAUGUACGCAACCUUCCUUUAACUGGAGGAUAGCCCCUCGAAAGAGGGAUUAAUACUCCGUAACAUAAUGAUAAGGCAUCUUAUUAUUAUUAUAGCUCCGGCGGUUAAAGAUGGGCGUGCAACUGAUUAGAUAGUUGGCGGGGUAACGGCCCACCAAGUCUGCGAUCAGUAACUGGUGUGAGAGCACGACCAGUCACACGGGCACUGAGACACGGGCCCGACUCCUACGGGAGGCAGCAGUAAGGAAUAUUGGUCAAUGGACGCAAGUCUGAACCAGCCAUGCCGCGUGGAGGAUUAAGGCCCUCUGGGUUGUAAACUCCUUUUAUCUGGGAAGAAAUGUUUCGAUUCUUCGGAACUUGACGGUACCAGAGGAAUAAGCACCGGCUAACUCCGUGCCAGCAGCCGCGGUAAUACGGAGGGUGCAAGCGUAAUCCGGAUUCACUGGGUUUAAAGGGUGCGUAGGCGGGUAGAUAAGUCAGUGGUGAAAUCUCCCGAGCUUAACUCGGAAACUGCCAUUGAUACUAUUUAUCUUGAAUAUUGUGGAGGUAAGCCGAAUAUGUCAUUGUA
rnacentral:rRNA from 1 species